rnacentral:rRNA from 1 species
UGCCCCUUAUGACCUGGGCUACACACGUGCUACAAUGGGAAGUACAACGAGUCGCUAGACCGCGAGGUCAUGCAAAUCUCUUAAAGCUUCUCUCAGUUCGGAUUGCAGGCUGCAACUCGCCUGCAUGAAGCCGGAAUCGCUAGUAAUCGCGGAUCAGCACGCCGCGGUGAAUACGUUCCCGGGCCUUGUACACACCGCCCGUCACACCACGAGAGUUUGUAACACCCGAAGUCGGUGAGGUAACCUUUUUGGAGCCAGCCGCCUAAGGUGGGAUAGAUGAUUGGGGUGAAGUCGUAACAAGGUAGCCGUAUCGGAAGGUGCGGUUGGAUCACCUC